rnacentral:rRNA from 1 species
GACGAACGCUGGCGGCGCGCUUAACACAUGCAAGUCGAACGGAAAGGCCUGCUUUCCCUUGUGGAUUGCGGGUACUCGAGUGGCGAACGGGUGAGUAACACGUGAGUGAUCUGCCCCCAACUUGGGUAUAGGCCUGGGAAACUGGGUCUAAUUCCCGAUAGGACUGCAGGGUGGUGCCUGUGGUGGAAAACGAUUUUCUAGUGGUUGGGGAUGAGCUCGCGGCCUAUCAGCUUGUUGGUGGGGUAAUGGCCUACCAAGGCGGCGACGGGUAGCCGGCCUGGGAGGGUGGACGGCCACAUUGGGACUGAGAUACGGCCCAGACUCCUACGGGAGGCAGCAGUGGGGAAUAUUACACAAUGGGCGGAAGCCUGAUGCAGCGACGCCGCGUGGGGGAUGACGGCCUUCGGGUUGUAAACUCCUUUCGACCGCGAGGAAGCCACCUGGUUGGAAGGGUGGUGACGGUAGUGGUAGAAGAAGCACCGGCUAACUACGUG